rnacentral:tRNA from 1 species
GUGGGUACAGCUCAGAGGUAGCACAUAUGCUUACCAUGCACGAGGUCCUGGGUUCAAUCCCCAGUACCUACA